AUUGCUUCUCGGCCUUUUGGCUAAGAUCAAGUGUAGUAUCUUUUCUUAUCAGUUUAAUAUCUGAUAAGUCCUCUAUCUGGGGACCAUAGUGUCACAUGUACAAUAAUCUUUUUAUUUACACCAGCUGUAUUGGCUCUACUGCCUGGUAAUCGUUAGGUUUGCAGUUUGGUUCCUGCUGCAGUUUCUUGCACCUGGA